GGAGAGGUGCGAGAGUGGCCGAUUCGGACGGUCUCGAAAACCGUUGUCCUCGCAAGGGGACCGUGGGUUCAAAUCCCACCCUCUCCGCCA
rnacentral:tRNA from 3 species